UUGUUCUGCUUGGGGGGCUUUAAGGAAGCAAAUGGACUUUCAGAACAGAGAUUGUCAAUAAAGGCAGAGAUGUUUGGUGAGAGAGCAGAGAGGAAAACACUCAAGAAAGCAAGAAGGACCCACAAGAGCUCAGAGAUAAAGCCAAUGAAGCCAGAACCUAGGAGACAAGGACCAGCAGAUGUCUCCAUGUGCCUUUCCAUGUGACAGAGGAACCCCAGAUGCCAGCAACCUUUCUUCAGAGAAGGAAUCCUUUAUGAGAGGAUAAAAGGCAGAGACAUUUGGAGAGAGAGCAGACAGAGAAAUGCCCAAGGAAGCAAGAAGUACUCACAGGAGCUGAGAGGGAGCCAUUGAAACCAGAAACCCAGGAGAAAAGGACCAGGAGACCUCACCAUGUUCCUUCCCAUGUGACAGAGAAACACCAGAUGCCAGCAGCCUUUCUUCAGAGAAGCGUAUUGGCUUGAAGAAAUGGACAAGAACUUAAAAUGUGCUCUAAUGUUGAUCCUUCAGAGAUAUAAUCAUCGUGGAAAGAGUGAUGAUCUUGGAAUUGUAUUGAGAUUGGUUUUGUCAAGGAAUACUCAUCCUGAAUCUGGACGUGUGUCCUCUGAGGUGCUCAUGGCACUGACCAUACUGGAAGCUGAUGCAGAUACUGGGUGGGGUGGGAGGGCAGGUU